UGUGUAGGCGGCCGCGCAAGUCGGAUGUGAAAUCCCCGGGCUCAACCCGGGAAGUGCACCCGAAACUGCGUGGCUUGAGUACCGGAGAGGUUGGUGGAAUUCUCGGUGUAGAGGUGAAAUUCGUAGAUAUCGAGAGGAACACCGGUGGCGAAGGCGGCCAACUGGACGAGUACUGACGCUGAGACACGAAAGCGUGGGGAGCAAACAGGAUUAGAUACCCUGGUAGUCCACGCCGUAAACGAUGGGUGCUAGGUGUCACGGGCUUUGACUCCUGUGGUGCCGUAGCCAACGCAUUAAGCACCCCGCCUGGGAAGUACGGCCGCAAGGCUAAA
rnacentral:rRNA from 1 species